rnacentral:rRNA from 1 species
GAUGAACGCUGGCGGCGUGCUUAACACAUGCAAGUCGAACGGAAAGGCUCCUGCUUGCAGGGGUACUCGAGUGGCGAACGGGUGAGUAACACGUGGGUGAUCUGCCCUGCACUUCGGGAUAAGCCUGGGAAACUGGGUCUAAUACCGGAUAGGACCACAUUUUGGAUGGUGUGGUGGAAAGUUUUUCGGUGUGGGAUGAGCUCGCGGCCUAUCAGCUUGUUGGUGGGGUAAUGGCCUACCAAGGCGUCGACGGGUAGCCGGCCUGAGAGGGUGUACGGCCACAUUGGGACUGAGAUACGGCCCAGACUCCUACGGGAGGCAGCAGUGGGGAUUAUUGCACAAUGGGCGCAAGCCUGAUGCAGCGACGCCGCGUGGGGAUGACGGCCUUCGGGUUGUAAACUCCUUUCGCUAGGGACGAAGCGCAAGUGACGGUACCUGGAGAAGAAGCACCGGCUAACUACGUG